CGGGGUGAGGAGAGGUGUGUUCGCGCCCUCCUGUGUUGGAUUCGUGCUUCAUCGUAGCAAAGUGCUGUGAAAAGUGUCGUGAUCGUAAACAACCGCCAGGAGAAUAUUACCAUGACGUGUUACCUGAAGGAAGACGUGUCCUAAGUGAAACGUAUCCACUGUGCGAGUGAAUAUUACCUGUGGCUUGGAGACGCACGGCGCUUACCUGUCCCGCGGACAAAAUGGGGGAGGACUCGGGCAGCCGGCGGGUUCAGGAGAGGGAGAACCUGAGGCAUAUCAUACAGCAGUGGAACGCCAAUAGACUCGACCUGUUUGAGAUCUCCGAGCCCAAUGAGGAUCUGGAGUUCCACGGGGUGAUGCGCUUCUAUUUUCAAGACUCCGGGCAGAAGGUGGCCACCAAGUGCAUCCGCGUCGGCAGCACGGCAACGGCGCGCUACGUGAUCGAGACCCUGGUGGAGAAGUUUAGGCCAGACAUGCGCAUGCUUUCCAUCCCAGAGUAUGCCUUGUACGAGAUCCACGAGAACGGAGAUGAGAGGCGGCUGGCUGAGGAUGAGAAGCCACUCUUGGUGCAGCUCAACUGGAAUAAGGAUGACCGUGAGGGCCGCUUCUUACUGCGCAGGAUGGAUCUCUACAAUUCCAUUGGCUCUUUGCACCAUAGUAACCACUCAAUGGUGCACACACUGCCUCCACACCCAACCACACCAGUGCCUUCCAAGGAACAGCCAUUCCAGCGUAAACUCUCCAAGCGGGAAAAGAAGGAACUCAAGAAACAGGAGAAGCUGAGGCGGGCCAAUGAAGCCAAUGAGAAUGACAGCUCAGUGGCAGAAAAACUGUACACAGAACUCCCAGAGACCAGUUUCACACGCAGCAUCAGCAACCCUGAAGCGGUGAUGAGACGCAGGCGAGCACAGAAGCUAGAAAAGAAACUGCAGCAGUUCAGGAGUAAGGAUGGAGGGCCAGACACUGGAGGCACUCUCAAGAUUUAUGGUGAAUCUCUACGACCAGAUGUGCCUUACAAGACUCUCCUGCUGUCUGUUCGAGACAAUGCUCUCACAGUGGUUAGGGAAAUGUUGGACAAGUAUGGCCUCCACAGGGAGGAUCCUGCCAACUACUGUCUCAUGCAGACUGUGAUAGGCAAUGACGAUGGCUAUGGGAGAGCCAUGUCCCCACAGAAGGAGUACAUCUUGGAUGACGAUGAGUGUCCCUUGGCCAUCCUCAUGAAUCAUCCACCAUCCAGAGGGUCCAUCAUGUUCCAUGUGCGGCGCCGUCCAGCAGACCAUGGGCCGCGCAAACGUAAGAAGAAGCCUGUGAAGGGUGCCGGUGGUGGUCAUGGCGGUGACCACGACCAUCACCGCCCGCGGGAUCCUCACUUCCUACCUGACAGGCUGCCCUUCCUCAUCGAACUGGGCCCAGACGGGUCGGAGCUGGCCGGCACUGGGCGACACCACCAGCUGCACCUCAACGUGACGGAGGUGGGUACGGACCGCAGCACACACACCGGGGGACAGUCCUUGCAGCUGUUCGGGCCCUCCAUCCAGCCCCGCCAUUGCGUUAUCGCCCACACAGAGGGCAUCGUUACCGUGACGCCUUGUUCCCGGGACGCUGACACCUUCGUCAACGGUCAGCGCAUCUAUGAGACCACCAUCCUGCAGCAUGGAUGCAUCGUGAGGUUUGGCCGCAUCUACAACUUCCGCUUCCUGGACCCCCUGCAGGAUGACCGCAUGAGGCAGCACCAUCUCAUAGACAGGUCGGGACAAGAGAAGGCUUCCACUGGGGCUCCUGGGGACAAGCAGGAGUCUGGGGGGGACAGCGUGUCGCAUGCCGGGUCACAAGCCGGGUCACUGGCUGGCUCACAGGCUGGUUCACGCAACUCUAAGUCCUCAGCACAGGAACGUCCCAGCAGGAAUGAACAGAGUUUUGAGGGGAGAGGCAACUAUGAGCGCUAUCCCCCCCCAAGGGACCCGAUCCUCCCCGCUGUACUGGAGUUCAGGGAGGAGAGUGAAGAUGGCUUCCUGCAUGCCAUCACCACUGAUCUGGACCCUACAGACAUUCAGUUCAAGCUGGCACCGACCUACACUCUGUACAUGGCAGCCAGGUUCAGGGCAUCAACACACUACCGGCCAGACCUGAGCCCCACUGAACGUGCUCACCGCCUCACAGAGAUGCUGACCAAGGUGGCCGCCAUGGUGCAGAAUGUGAUCCAUUCUCGGUACGGAGAUCCCACGUCCCUUGCCUUCUGGAUGGCCAAUGCCUCAGAGCUGCUGCACUUCCUGAAGCAAGACAGGCACAUCUGUGGCUACUCCAGCGACGCUCAAGACAUUCUGGCGGAGGCAGUUCAAGUUGCCUUCAGGAGCUUGGUGGACUGCAUGCAGGCAGAACUCUCCACAUCGCUGCCAAUGUUCCUGGAGGACCGGGAUGACAUCAAUGAGGAGGAAGGAUCAACAGCUCAUGUGCUGUCCAUCCUGACCAACACCAUGGCUUUGCUGCGCCGGUGCAGAGUCAAUGCAGCACUCACCAUCCAGCUCUUCUCACAACUCUUCCACUUCAUCAACAUGUGGGUCUUCAACCGCAUUGUGGUGGACUCUCAUCCAAACUACUGCACUCGGGUGUGGGGUGUGAGGCUGAAGCGCCGGCUGGCCCGCAUUGAGCUGUGGGCUGAGAAACAGGGGCUAGAGCUGGCAGCAGACUGCCACCUGGCCAGACUCUCCCAGGCUGCCAUGUUACUUCACUCACAAAAGUCUGCCCCUGAUGACAUUGCCACCAUCUCCUCCACCUGUUUCAAGCUCAACUCCCUGCAGCUGCGGGCAUUGCUGGAGAAGUACCAACCCACACCGGAUGAGCCAAAGAUUCCUCAGGACCUCAUAGACAAUGUGGUGGCCGUGGCUGAGAGUACUGCCGAUGGCCUGGCCAGGGAGGAUGGCCGUGAAGUUCGUCUAGAAGAAGAAACAGACCUACAACUUCCCUUCCUGCUCCCAGAGGACGGUUACUCCUGUGACAUUGUUAGGGGCGUUCCCUCAGGGCUGGCUGAGUUCCUCAACCCACUGCAGCAUGGCGGGCUGUGCAACAUGAACCCUCAGCCCACUUCCUCUGGCUACUGGACCAUCUACAUGCAUGAACAGGAUUCCCGCCCUCCACCUGGGCCUCGCAGCCCCAGCGUGAUGAGCAACCGGUCCAUGUCCAUCCCACGUGGUGAACCAGAGAUCCACGUCAUCCAGCUGCACAAGUCCAACAAUGGCAUGGGGCUGUCCAUCGUGGCCACCAAGGGCGUCAACCAAGACAAGCUGGGCAUCUACAUCAAGAGUGUCGUGCCAGGCGGAGCAGCGGACCAGGACGGGCGACUACAGGCGGGCGACCAGCUGUUGUCCGUGGAUGGCAAGUCGCUGAUCGGCAUAACGCAGGAGCGCGCAGCAGAGUACAUGAUGGAGACGGGCCCAGUGGUGACCCUGGAGGUUGCGCGCCAGGGAGCCAUCUACCACGGCCUGGCCACCAUCCUCUCCCAGCCCUCGCCACACGCAAACCGAGCAUCACUGCGGAAGACUCAACAGCGAGUGGAGGACGUCCCUCGCACCGCCAUGACUAACAGCCAUUCAACACCUAACAUGGGCGGCUACAACGAGCGGCUGGUGGACUGGAACCAGCCCCCACGCCAGCAUCCCAUUCCUCCCACCUCCUCCCACAGCUCCCUGAUGGCCAGGUCUAGCCCCAAUCUGGCAGCUCAACCAGAAGGUUACCCUGGUGGGCGGCACUUGAGUGAGCGAGACCUGCCAUCAAAAGUGCUGGAGCACGGCCAAGACACCCCUGCACCCUCACACCUCCACCAGGGCCCUCGCAUUCAAGCCUCCAAGUCGGUUCCUUCUCUCAAUAGUGAGGUUAAUAGCCACAUGGGUGGUAAGCCAGCAUCCUUGGAGGUUUUCAACCCUGCCUAUUCUCGCACGUCCUCCAACACUUCUCUCUCACAACCCUCCAACUCCCACCAUCUCCACCAUCAACACCAGCAGCAGCAGCAGCAGCAGCAGCAGCAGCAGCAACAACAACAACAACAACAACAACAACAGCAACAGCAACAGCAACAGCAGCAGCAGCAGCAGCCGCCGCCGCCAAUGCUCCCACAUCACCAUCAGUCUCACCAGCAGUAUCAUCCACCCCUCAGAUCCAGGUCAACACAAAACCUUAGUGAAGGGAACUACCAUGUUGGUGUGGGCCGUCAUCCAAGCAACCCCAGCCUGCUGGAGCGGACCCCUGGCUCAGCAGCAGAGGAGGAACGCUACUACCAGAACAUCACAUUCCACCAAGGGGCACAAGACCCCCGCAUGGGAUCUACUCGCACUCGCCCUGCUCAGCUGCUGCCCCUUGGCUCACCCACAGGCCAGCAGGCAGAACUGCCAGAGCAGACACGUCCUGAUGCACGGCCUGACCACCGCCCAGCUUCUGCCUUCCUCCAGCGUGAGGAGGUCCUCACUCACAGGCAAGACCUCCAGCGGCCAUCCUCCCAACGCGACCUGCGUGCCGAUGCCAAGAUGAUCGAAAUGACAGAGGAGGUGAGACGAAGAGAAGAACGGGCACGCCACAAUGGCCACCCACCCUCUGCCGGCCCUGUCCACCCUCUCCGCUCCACUCCUCACCAAUCGGCUCACCGGACCCCAGCCAACUUCCCUCACCAUAUGCCUCCUGGCCCAUAUUCUCCUGAGAACUAUCCAGGUGGACCACAGGGAUUCCAUGGCAGCAGCAGCAGCAGCAGCAGCAGCAGCAGCAACAACACCCUAACUAUCCACCUCAGACACAUCCACUCAGCCCCAUGGGUGGACACCAGCAGCCACCACACCAUGGCCACCCUCAGUAUAGUCCCCAUGGGCAAAGCUUGCCUGGCAAACUUCCUCCCCCUACAGCUCCAAAGCCCAAACCUCCCGGAGCCCCAGCCCCUGAAGCACCAGAGAAGCCCUUGCGUCAGUUUGGCUUUGAUGGAAAUACUCCUGAUGGGCCCCCAAGGCCACCUCCCCCAGAGGAUGGCUACAGGGACUCUCCUCCACCUCCACCACCUCCUACUUCAACUCAUCCUCUUUUGCAAGGGAGCCGGCCGGGCUCUAGUGUAGGAUUUGCUGGUCAGCUGUCCACAAAAUCAGCCUUUAACAAGACCAGUCCCUGGGAUAGGGAACAGAAAGAACUGCACGAACAGAGGCGACGUGAGGCAGCACGGCACUGGCGAGAUGAACAGAUCCAUUCCUUGGAAGGUUUGGAGGUGCGCACAUCCCAGCAGGAUGAGCGGCUUCGCACCUUGCGCCUGGAGAGGGAGUUCCAGCGACGUGCAGAGGAGGCACUCACCAAUGAGGAUGAGGAUGAGGAUGAUGAUGAA
rnacentral:misc_RNA from 1 species